GAGGUACUAUUUAGAGACAGUGCCAAGUGGAAUGAAGUCAAGUGCUAAGUGGAGGGAAGUCAAGUAGGAGUUUAAAGACAUCAGCCAAAGAGGAAAGUGGUUCUAAGAGGUACUAUUUAGAGACAGUGCCAAGUGGAAUGAAGUCAAGUGCUAAGUGGAAGGAAGUCAAGUAGGAGUUUAAAGACAUCAGCCAAAGAGGAAAGUGGUUCUAAGAGGUACUAUUUAGAGACAGUGCCAAGUGGAGUGAAGUCAAGUGCUAAGUGGAGGGAAGUCAAGUAGGAGUUUAAAGACAUUGGCCAAAGAGGAAAGUGGUUCUAAGAGGUACUAUUUAGAGACAGUGCCAAGUGGAAUGAAGUCAAGUGCUAAGUGGAGGGAAGUCAAGUAGGAGUUUAAAGACAUCAGCCAAACAGGAAAGUGGUUUAACAGAGGCUAGUUUUGAAUGCUGAGAACACUACACACAUAACCACUUAACUGUCUGGUUCUAAGAGGUACUAUUUAGAUGGAUUAACAAGUGGAAUGAAGUCUCAGAGAAGGUUACAGACAUCAGCCAAAGAGGAAAGUGGUGUAAGAGGCUAGUUUUGAAUGCUAAGAACACUACACACAUAACCACUUAACUGUCUGGUUCUGUUCGGUACUAUUCAGAUGCACGGACGACUGGAACGAUCUCGUAUAGAAGUUUGAAGUCAAGUCUGAAGUCGGCAAAGUGGUCUGAUAUUCUGAGGACUUGCACACAUCACUCACUGUUAGUUUCGGAGCGAUACUUUUAGAGAGAGACGAGUUUGAGGCAGUGAUGGGGAAGCGUAACGUCGCCCGUCGAUCGUUAACACAAGAGGAGAAUGGGAGUGACGUAACAUCGGCAGUUCACACACGCACACACACCUUUCCGUUAAGCGUUCGUGUCGGGGGAAAGAAUACCGUGAAGAGUCGAACCGAGGUAUGAAAAUGAACUUGCGGCAAAAUGUUAGUCGUCUCUCAAGUUUCGGCAAAAUGUUAGCGGUUUUUCAAGUUUCGGCAAAAUGUUAGCGGUUUUUCAAGUUUCGGCAAAAUGUUAGCCGUCUCUCAAGUUUCAUUUUGCCGAUGGUUUGCUUUGCUUUUUCCGAGUUCUCUUUUGUUAUCAUUUAUUUAUUUAUUUGUUUUAGUUUAUUCUUCUUUUUCUUUCUAGUCCAUCUUCCCUUUUUCUUAUUGUUGUUGUUUUUUUCUUAUUGUUUUUCGUAUUGUAUUUAACUCAUUUUUAGUUUUAGUUUUGUUUACUUUUAAUUUAUUCUUCUUUAUUCUAUUUUUCUGUUUAUUUUAUUGUUUUAUGUAUUUUUUCUAUCAUUUAUUUAUCUUAUUUUACUUACCAUUAUUAUUUUUUCCUUCUAUUUCUCCUUUUUUUCCCGCUGACAAGAGUGCUAAUAGGGGACGGUGUGUGUGUGUGUGUGUGUGUGCGUGUGUGUGUGUGUGUGUGGACGGGCGACGUUACUCCCUUCCUCGAGGCCGUGACAAGCGAAUACAAACUGUGUACUCUCUCCGAACCCCAAGACACGUACACACUAAGUCAACAUAUCCACAUCAUCAUCAUCAUCAGCCUGUACACACCGCGCUACAUUUAAUACACAUCGUCGAACUGCGGAAAAAAAACGCAUAUGUGUGAUGUCUAUCGGUGUAUGUAUGUACGUGUGUAGUCUCUCUCUCGCUCUUUUGUAUAUAUAAAUUGCCGAGGAGGAAAGAAAGUGGUGGUAUACGUAACAUUGUCUAGUGUGGGGAGGGGAGGAGAGGAAGAAUCUGAAUAUCUCAAAAGCAGAAUAGUGUGUGUGAUUCUCUUAACCCGGUACCAGCGACGGGCCAAAUUUGUGGCUUUAUCGUGUAGCAGCGACGGGCCAAAUUUGUGGCUUUACUGUGUACCAGCGACGGGCCAAAUUUGUGGCUUUACCAUGUACCAGCGACGGGCCAAAUUUGUGGCUUUACCAUGUACCAGCGACGGGCCAAAUUUGUGCCAUGAUAAAGACCCCCAAAAUAGAUGAUGUAUAAACUGAUCACAAAUGCUUUGAUACAUAUUAUGAAAUGGUUUGCGUGAGUGAUGAUUUUUUCUCAUUUUUCUCGUUCAGAGGGACCUUUAAGAAACAUGAUCCCCGCAGCUACCAGGUUAAAAAGGAUUAGUGUUUGUGCGAUUUGACAAGGGGGAAUGAAAGGGAAGAGGGGAAGCUAUCGGGAUCUCCUUUAAAACUUAACCCCAUGCUUGUGUGAUCUUGAGGUAACUGCGUUUGUGUGAUCGGCCAAGUUGGAAUGAGAGGGGAGAGAGGAAGGAAGCCAUCAGGAGGUCGUUUAAACGUUGACCCCUGCUUGUGUGGUCAGCCAAGGGGGAAUGAUAGAGAGGCAGCUUUCAGGAUCUCAAAUAAAACCAUGAAUCAGUUUGGGUCUCCAGGAAACGUUUGGCAAAUUCGCUCGGUAAAACGGAAUCACUUGAAUGCCUUGAUGGUAUCGUCACACUUAUCAUGGGGAAGGGAAAGGCUCAGAUUCUAGUAUCAACCCCUUGACUACGGAUUUCCUACCAGAACACCUCACCAAGCUACAGGAAUGGAACAAAUGUAAAUGUAAAGUCCUGCACCUUGGGAGGGGAUAUCCACCAUACCACUACCACAUAGGAAACACUCCACUAUCCACCACAGAGGCAGAGAAAGAUGUGGGACUAUGUGUUACUAGGCUACCACUGAAAGCCAAAUCCAUGCCAAUCGCAGUGGACGGGUUAAAAGAAACCACCAUUAAAACUAAAACCUUUUACAACACGAAGCAUAUCACUGCACCGAGGCGUGACCACCGUCUGUCCGCUGGUUCACACGGGAGCAUUUUGUAUCAGGAAGGAGAGGAGAGCGGGGUCGGUGGUGCUGGCUGGCUGUAGUUCCCCGGAUGCUCAAUUGCUGCUCCAUAGGGUACGCUCGUGAAUUUGCGUCCGCCAUUCUGGUUAGUACUCAUGCAGAAACCGUGAUCCUUCCGGUGUAGUCUUGUUCCAUGCACGUACAACAAAAUAAAAGAGCAUAAAAAACUAUAUUAAGGUUAAAAUAAAAUAAGGUUAAAAUUAAAAAAAGUCAAAGAAGUGAAUGAUUGUCAGUUUUUCUUCAUCAGUAUUAAAACUCAGAUCAAUUUAAAAAGCAUAAAAAAACGUAGGAGUAAAAACAUUAACAUUAAAAAACUCAGAUCAAUUUAAAAAGCAUAAAAAAACGUAGGAGGAAAAACAUUAACAUUAAAACAAAAAAAAAGCCAAAGAAAAGAAUCCUUGUCAGUCUUUUCCUUCAUCAGUGUUAAACCUCAGAUCAAUUUUAUGUGUUUACUUAUUUAUUUAUUUAUUUAUUUACUUAUUUUUGUUUCCCUGGCAUGAGUACAGACUGGAAGGGUGCGUCUGUACUAUUGGCGAGUGUACCCUAUGGGCCACCUUGUCACUGCCGCCCCCCCACGCCUCGGCUGCCGGGGGUGGGCGGUGGCAGGCGCUGAGACCCCGACGGAGGCAGAGAGGACCAGAGACAGUGAUGGAAAGGAAAGAAAGAGUUAUCAAUUAAAAGACAGGGAUGGGGAAUUAAUUAAGAAUGGAGAAGCUAAAUAAAAAGAAGUUAUGUAUUAAUUUAGAGACGGACGGAGAAGGAAAGGAAAGGAAAGAAAGAGUUAUCAAUUAAAAGACAGGGAUGGAGAAUCAAUUAAUAGACAAAAUUGGAAAAGGAAAUUAAAAAAGAAGUUAUUAAUUUAGAGACGGA